rnacentral:misc_RNA from 1 species
GUAUAGAGCAGAUGAGAAUUCAAGGAAUAAUGGUGAUGCAUAAGAGGCUGUACAGGUUAUGCAGAGUAAAGUGUUGUCCAAAACAUGUGCAUAAGUAGGGUGCAUAAGCCGUGCGGUUCUGCAUGAGUGGCUAUAAGGGCUGCACAGGCUAUGCAGGACAUUUGCAUAAGGGGAUUACAGCCUGUGCAGUUCUGCAUAAGUAGCAGA